rnacentral:rRNA from 1 species
AUGUGCAUCCGAUGCGGGCUACCUGGACAUGUUUCCUCCCAGUGCAAGAGGUCGCGCAGUCCCGUCUCGGCGGAUGAGCUCUGUCGCGCGGUGAUCUCCAAGGUUGCCAGGACCGGGCCGGUGCCGGCGUCGCUGCACAAUGUGGGGGGGUUGCUGACGGAGCCUAGGCAGGACGCACCGCGUGUGCUGCCUUUGCCAGUUCCGCCCAGCUUCCCUCCCAUGGUGCCCGCCUACACUACCUCGGCCCCGGCGGCGGCGGAGGUCUGCAUCUUGGCGCGCUCUGAGGGGAUGGAUGACCUUGAGCGCCGGCCGCAGCUGGCCAUGGUGGCUUAUGUCGGGGGAUCACGGCCGUCGGUUUCAUGUGUGGAUGCAGCUAUAGCAAUCUCUGAAGAGCUCAACAUCCCGCGCCAUUGCUUCUCGGUGCACAAAUAUCACCCGGAGGAUUUCCUCAUCGUGUUUGCUUCGCGUGAACUCCGGAAUAGAGCAUUGGCCAGUCCAUCGGUGGAGCACCAGGGUUUCAAGCUCUUCAUCAAGCCGUGGUUGAGGCAGGCUCAGGCAAAAUCCAGAUUGAUGCGUGUUUAG